AUGUGGCUGUCUGUUCUUUCUCUGGCCUGGAGGAGUUCAAUUGUUUAUCUGAGCGAUGCAGUUCCUAUUAGUCAACAGUAUUUUUCGUUCAUGCAGACAGAGGGAGAAGAUGUCACUUUAAAUUGCAACUAUGCUGACGAUGUUUACUACUUGUUCUGGUACCGUCAAUACUCAGGCAAACAGCCCGAGUUUGCAGUUCGGAGGCACACGGGCGGUGGUGCUGACGUGAAGGCAGAUUUCGCUCAGACCCGGUUUUCUGAUGCCCUCCAGAAGACAGAGAAGUCGUACCGAUUGAAAAUCUCGCAGCUUCCGCUGUCUGACACUGUCGUGUAUUACUGUGCAAUAAACCUCACAGUGACAGAAUGGAGUGAAAUCCUCGUAUACUGA